AAGAAAGCAACUUCGAUUUCUUCGUUACAGAGCUAUCAAAAGUGAGAUACCUUCCUCCAGAUAAUGGCCUUCCAAAAAACACUUGUCGUCCUGGUGUUUCUCCUGCUGCUUGUUAACACUGAGUUUUCCAAAGCCCAAAUGUCCAGUCGUCAUGAAACCAGAUUAAACAGUAAUGCAGAGGGAAUUUCUUCACAGGAAAAUAUGAGCGAAAGUCUGAGAAGCAGAUUCCGAACAUACAAC